CAAGGCUUGACAUAUACGAGAAAUGGUCAGAACGGGCCAACUCUUUGGACACUCGUAUACAGGUGGUGCAUGGUUGUCGUCGUGACAUGUCAGCUCGUGUUCGGUUAAGUCCAGUAACGAGCGCAACCCUCGUCCUAUGUUGCCAGCACGUUAUGGUGGGAACUCAUGGGAUACUGCCGUGGUCAGCACGGAGGAAGGUGCGUAUGACGUCAAAUCAUCAUGCCCCUUAUGUCUUGGGCUUCACGCAUGCUACAAUGGCCGAUACAAAGGGCUGCGAUACCGCGAGGUCGAGCGAUUCCGUCGGAGUCGGUCUCAGUUCGGAUAGCGUUCUGCAACUCGAGCGCAUGUACAAAAAGUCGCUAGUAAUCGCAGAUCAGCAAGGCUGCGUUGAAUACGUACUC
rnacentral:rRNA from 1 species